rnacentral:rRNA from 1 species
CGCAAGCCUGAUGCAGCAACGCCGCGUGAGGGAUGACGGCCUUCGGGUUGUAAACCUCUUUUAGUAAGGAAGAAGGGAAGCUUGCUUCUGACGGUACUUGCAGAAAAAGGACCGGCUAACUACGUGCCAGCAGCCGCGGUAAUACGUAGGGUCCGAGCGUUGUCCGGAAUUAUUGGGCGUAAAGAGCUCGUAGGCGGUUUGUCGCGUCUGCUGUGAAAUCCCGAGGCUCAACCUCGGGCCUGCAGCGGGUACGGGCAGACUUGAGUGCGGUAGGGGAGAAUGGAAUUCCUGGUGUAGCGGUGGAAUGCGCAGAUAUCAGGAGGAACACCGAUGGCGAAGGCAGUUCUCUGGGCCGUAACUGACGCUGAGGAGCGAAAGCGUGGGGAGCGAACAGGAUUAGAUACCCUGGUAGUCCACGCCGUAAACGUUGGGCGCUAGAUGUGGGGACCUUUCCACGGUUUCCGUGUCGUAGCUAACGCAUUAAGCGCCCCGCCUGGGGAGUACGGCCGCAAGGCUA